ACUGAGCCAGGGCCAAGGUACUUGAACGUUCUACAACUCGGACUUUAGGGAAAUGUCAGGAGAGUUGUCACAGCCCAAAAAAGUCUUGCAGCUGCUACACAAGCAGUGACUUUCAAUGUAUAUCAAGCUCCAGAAACAACCAACAAAGAAUCCCUAAAAUGAGCAUGCACCUUCAGCACCUGGUAUAGCUGGUCAAGGAUGCUCCCCUGUUUUCUAGCUGCAUUCCAGGAAGAACAUAUACAGGGAAUGGAAAUUUAAAGGUCUUGCAGUUAAGCAACAUGCAACUUUAACACUGGGUGGAGUCUGGAAAGAGGUCACCGUGACUCUUCUGUG